AAUGCUCUCAUUUAUCCCAGAGCUGUAUAAAUAAAAACCGUGCAAAACAAGAGGGGCCUGCAGCUCCCAGCUUUCGGUGCAUCUACUCACCUGCCUGCCUUCAGGUCUUCUCUUCAGCUCCGGUUUUUCCCACGGGAAGACCACAGAUCUAUUUGAGAGAGGCUUGGCGGUCCAGAAACAGGCUUUGGGCCAUCCGAUUUAGGGCCACCCCGAUCCAGUGUGACCUCCUCUGAACACAACUGAUGACAUCCUCCAAGACCCUGUUUCCAAAUAAGAGUCCGGCAUCAAGCCGCCAGAGUUAGGACGGUGCCAGGAGGUCCAGCUCCGAGUAGCGGCGGUUCCUCGGUGCCUGAUACACGCCGGUCCCUCCUUACCCUGCCCCUCAACUCCACCCCUGCAACGGCUCUUUGGAGGAAAUUAAGGGUCAGGGAGAUUAGACAGUUUACCCAAUGUCACGCAGUGAGAAACCAGAACAGCCUGGACUCAACACAGUUCUCUGCGAGCCAGCCACAGCAUGCUGCCUCCUCCAUCGUCACCACGUCAGAGACUCUCACAACCACCCCCUGGGACAGAGUACAGACAAGCACGGGCAUGAGCUAGGAGCUUGGAGCAGCCGGGGCCUCUGAGCCACCUUGGAAGUGGACACGGCAGCCACGGGACACGUGGCACGCAGCCCUCGAAGCGUGGCUGGUCUGAACCGCGGCGCGCCGCGGGCGCACGGUCCACAGCGGGUUUCAAGAUGUCGUAUGAGCAAAACAAGGUCAGCUGUCUCACUGGUGAGCUGUCUAUAGAUCACGGGCUGAAAGUAGUAUCGUGGGUGUAAUGGGGUCAGUAAAAUAUUAAUUUCACCUGCUCCUUGUCCUACAGGGACAACUGGAAAUGGGAAGCUGCCCGUGUGGCUCAGUGU